rnacentral:pre_miRNA from 1 species
GGAAUAUAAGAACCUGUCUCUUAACUUUUAACUAAAAAAAUUAAGAACCGGCUCUUAAAACUCUUAUUUAAGAACCGGUUCUUAACUUUUUUAGUUAAAAGUUAAGAGACAAGUUUUUAUAUUCC